GAUGAAGAACGCAGUGAAAUGCGAUAAGUAAUGCGAAUUGCAGAAUUCCAGUGAGUCAUCGAAUCUUUGAACGCACAUUGCGCCCUCUGGUAUUCCGGAGGGCAUGCCUGUCCGAGCGUCAUUGCUGCCCUCAAGCACGGCUUGUGUGUUGGGCCCCGCCCCCCGAUCCCGGGGGGCGGGCCCGAAAGGCAGCGGCGGCACCGCGUCCGGUCCUCGAGCGUAUGGGGCUUUGUCACCCGCUCUGUAGGCCCGGCCGGCGCCUGUCGAUCAACCAAACUUUUUUCCAGGUUGACCUCGGAUCAGGUAGGGAUACCCGCUGAACUUAAGCAUAUCAAUAAGCGGAGGA
rnacentral:misc_RNA from 1 species